UACAGGGGGGGCAAGCGUUGUUCGGAAUUACUGGGCGUAAAGGGCUCGUAGGUGGCCGACUCAGUCAGACGUGAAAUCCCUCAGCUUAACUGGGGAACUGCGUCUGAUACUGGAUGGCUUGAGAUUGGGAGAGGGAUGCGGAAUUCCAGGUGUAGCGGUGAAAUGCGUAGAUAUCUGGAGGAACACCGGUGGCGAAGGCGGCAUCCUGGACCAACACUGACACUGAGGAGCGAAAGCCAGGGGAGCAAACAGG
rnacentral:rRNA from 1 species